AACGAGACCUUAACCUGCUAAAUAGCCCGUAUUGCUUUGGCAGUACGCUGACUUCUUAGAGGGACUAUCGGCUCAAGCCGAUGGAAGUUUGAGGCAAUAACAGGUCUGUGAUGCCCUUAGAUGUUCUGGGCCGCACGCGCGCUACACUGACGGAGCCAGCGAGUUCUCCCUUGACCGGAAGGUCCGGGUAAUCUUGUGAAACUC
rnacentral:rRNA from 1 species